AGUGACCUGCGGAAGGAUCCUUAUCGAAGAACUAAACCCUCUUCAUAUACCCCUUUGUGAACCUCGUUCUUCGGACGNUCAUACAAACUCGUUUGUUGUCAUUGAAUGUAACGUUAUACCCAUAACAAAGCAUAACUUUUAGCAACGGAUCUCUUGGCUCGUGCAUCGAUGAAGAACGCAGCGAAAUGCGAUAAGUAAUGUGAAUUGCAGAAUUCCAGUGAAUUCAUCGAAUCUUUGAACGCACCCUUGCGCCCUUCUGGUUUACCAGUGGCAUGCCGGUUUGAGCGCCUUUUCAUGCUUGCACCUCUAGCUUUUGUUAGAGACUGCAGAUUUGAGUGUAUUGCCGGCUUGUUCGGCCUCGCUCUGAAUGCCAUGAGCGACUAGACAGCUCGAAGCAACGUGAUAAGUAUCUUCGUUGUAACGUGCUCGACAGACGCUUCUAAUCGUCUUCGGACAAUUUCUAAGGCUAGGCCUCAAAGUGGUAGGACUACCCGCUGAACUUAA
rnacentral:rRNA from 1 species